AACGAACGCUGGCGGCAGGCCUCAAACAUGCAAGUCUAGGGGGUGUAGCAAUACAUCACCGGCGGACGGGCGCGUAACACGUGGGAAUAUACCUUUUGGUUCGGAACAACGCAGGGAAACUUGCGCUAAUACCGAAUGUGCCCUUACGGGAAAGAUUAUCGCCAAAGGAUUAGCCCGCGUAGGAUAGCUAGUUGGUGAGGUAAUGGCUCACCAAGGCUCCGAUCCUUAGCUGUUCUGAGAGGAAGAUCAGCCACACUGGGACUGAGACACGGCCCAGACUCCUACGGGAGGCAGCAGUUGGGAAUCUUGGACAAUAGGGGGAACCCGUGAUCCAGCCAUGCCGCGUGAGUGAUGAAGGCCUCGGUU
rnacentral:rRNA from 1 species